rnacentral:SRP_RNA from 1 species
AGCUAGAUCCUAGAUGAUGCUUCUCCAUGAACCCCGCCAGGACCGGAAGGUAGCAACGGUAGUGGAUGUGAGUAGGUGUCUGGGUCAUCUAGCUAUC